rnacentral:rRNA from 1 species
UACGUAGGGAGCAAGCGUUGUCCGGAAUCAUUGGGCGUAAAGCGCGCGUAGGCGGCCCCGUAAGUCCGCUGUGAAAGUCAAAGGCUCAACCUUUGAAAGCCGGUGGAUACUGUGGGGCUAGAGUCCGGAAGAGGCGAGUGGAAUUCCUGGUGUAGCGGUGGAAUACGCAGAUAUCAGGAGGAACACCAAUAGCGAAGGCAGCUCGCUGGGACGGUACUGACGCUAAGGCGCGAAAGCGUGGGGAGCGAACAGG